ACGACACGACCCAUAUGGAUCGUGCCUGCUUGGCCAGUUUUUUCGUUAAUAUUUCGUUAAAUUAUAUACAAAAUACUUCAGAUACCCUACCUAGGGGCUUUUUUUGCAUUUAGACCCCUGACAAAUUUUUAUUUUAAAAAUAGCCCUAUCAAAAUUUAAUUUGCAAAAAUGGCCCUGGGCCUGCCACGCAGGCGCCACGUCAGCGCCACGCGGGCAGGGCUGAGCCCGUGUGUUAAGUUGAACACGGUGAACCAUUCACCGUGUUCAAACACGGUGAAUGGUUCACCGUGUUUAGUACGUAUUUUUUUAUACGUAUAUUGAAAAGUGGACCUUAGAUCUCAUUCAACCUAGCGGCCGUUGGAUGAAAAUCUAAAGAAUAAAAAUUAUUAAAUAUUUAUAUAUUGUAAUAAAUAAACAAAAAUAAAUUACGUAUAUAUAUAAUAUAAUUUAUUCGGGUUUGAAUUCGAUAAUAUUUCGGGUAUCCAUACCUAUUACAUCCUACUCCUAUUCUUCACUUUUCAAUAUACAAAAAUACUAAGAAACACGGUGAACCAUUCACCGUGUUUAGACACUGGUGAUGAUUCACCGUUUCAACUUAAUACCGCUGGCCCCAGCCCUGCCCGGUGGCGCUGACGUGCGCCUGCGUGCAGGGACAGGGCCAUUUUGCAAUUUAAUUUUGAUAGGGGUAUUUUUAAAAAAAAUUGCUCGGGCUAUUUGCAAAAAACCCCUACCUAGGUUUACGAAUAUUCACUUUAGUACUCUUUAGUUUUAACCUUGUCAUUGAUUUAACGGAAAAAAGUAAUGGAUGCGAUAAUAAAAAAGAUAAAAAUGAAAUCCACAGAAACACUUAAUUGAUAUACUUUAAAACACAGGGUACUAAAUUGAUACAAAAUACUUAGAUACCGACUAGUUUAUCGAAUAUUCACUUUAGUUACCUCUUUAAUUUUAACUUGUCACUUGAUUUAACGAAAACAAAUAAUGGAAUCGAAUAAUAAAAAGAUAAAAAUAAAAAUUACAGAAUACUUAAAUUGAUAUACUUUAAACCACAGGGUACUUAAAUUGAUAAAAAUACUUCAGAUACCCACCUAGGUUUAUCGAAUAUUUACUUAGUAGCCCCUUAAUUUUAAACUUUGUCACUGAUUUAAUGAAAAAAAAUAUGGAAUCGAUAAUAAAAAGAUAAUAAAUAAUACAGAACACUUAAAUUGAAUAUACUUUAAAACCACAGGGUACAAAUUAUAUCACAAAAUACUUCAAAUACCCCACCUAGGUUUAUCGAAUAUUCACUUUAGUACUCUUUAAUUUUAACCCUGUCACUGAUUUAACGAAAACAUAAUGAAUCGAUAAUAAAAAGAUAAAAAUAAAAAUCACAGACAAAAAAUACUUCAGAUACCCCACCUAGGUUUAUCGAAUAUUCACUUUAGUACUCUUUAAUUUUAACCUUGUCACUGAUUUAACGAAAAAAGUAAUGGAAUCGAUAAUAAAAAGAUAAAAAUAAAAUCACAGAACACUUAAAUUGAUAUACUUUAAACCACAGGGUACAAAUUAAUAAAAAAUACUUCAGAUACCCCACCUAGGUUUAUCGAAUAUUCACUUUAGUACUCUUUAAUUUUAACCUUGUCACUGAUUUAACGAAAAAAGUAAUGGAAUCAAUAAUAAAAAGAUAAAAAUGAAAUCACAGAGCACUUAAAUUGAUAUACUUUAAACCUACUUAAAUUGAUACAAAAUACUUCAGAUACUCCACCUAGGUUUAUCGAAUAUUCACUUUAGUACCCUUUAAUUUUAACUUUGUCACUGAUUUAACGAAAAAAAAAUAAUGGAAUCGAUAAUAAAAAGAUAAAAAUAAAAUUACAGAACACUUAAAUUGAUACACUUUAAACCACAGGGUACUAAAAUGAGAAAGUGUGAAACCACAUGAGUGGUAUUUGAAGUUUUCCCAAAAAAUAAGUCUAUUUUGUUUCU
rnacentral:lncRNA from 1 species